rnacentral:rRNA from 1 species
GACGAACGCUGGCGGCGUGCUUAACACAUGCAAGUCGAACGAGACGAUUGAAAGCUUGCUUUCGAAAGUCGAGUGGCAAACGGGUGAGUAACGCGUAGACAACCUGCCUUUGAGAUGGGGACAACAGUUCGAAAGGACUGCUAAUACCGAAUGUUGUAUAUUUUCCACAUGGAAGAUAUAUUAAAGAUGGCCUCUAUUUAUAAGCUAUCGCUCAAAGAUGGGUCUGCGUCUGAUUAGCUGGUUGGUGGGGUAACGGCCUACCAAGGCGACGAUCAGUAGCCGGUCUGAGAGGAUGAACGGCCACAGUGGGACUGAGACACGGCCCAGACUCCUACGGGAGGCAGCAGUGGGGAAUCUUCCACAAUGGACGAAAGUCUGAUGGAGCAACGCCGCGUGAGUGAAGAAGGGUUUCGGCUCGUAAAGCUCUGUUGUCGGGGACGAAUGUGCAGUAUUUGAAUAAAGUACUGCAAUGACGGCACCUGACGAGGAAGCCACGGCUAACUACGUGCCAGCCGCCGCCGUAA